AUUCAGCUGACGAGUCCUAAAUAGGAUGAAACGUGCGUCCUGGAU
rnacentral:hammerhead_ribozyme from 1 species